rnacentral:rRNA from 1 species
ACGCUAGCGGCAGGCUUAACACAUGCAAGUCGAGGGGUAACAGGGAGUGCUCGCACUCUGCUGACGACCGGCGCACGGGUGCGUAACGCGUAUGCAACCUACCUUCUACAGGGGGAUAGUCCAGAGAAAUUUGGCAUAAUACCCCAUACGAUCAUUUAUUGGCAUCGAUAGAUGAGGAAAACUCCGGUGGUAGAAGAUGGGCAUGCGUCCUAUUAGUUAGUUGGUAAGGUAACGGCUUACCAAGACAUCGAUAGGUAGGGGUCCUGAGAGGGAGAUCCCCCACACUGGUACUGAGACACGGACCAGACUCCUACGGGAGGCAGCAGUGAGGAAUAUUGGACAAUGGAGGCAACUCUGAUCCAGCCAUGCCGCGUGCAGGAAGACGGCCCUACGGGUUGUAAACUGCUUUUAUACAGGAAGAAACGCCGCUACGUGUAGCGGUUUGACGGUACUGUACGAAUAAGGAUCGGCUAACUCCGUGCCAGCAGCCGCGGUAAUACGGAGGAUCCAAGCGUUAUCCGGAAUCAUUGGGUUUAAAGGGUCCGUAGGCGGUUUUUUAAGUCAGAGGUGAAAUCCUGCAGCUCAACUGUAGCAUUGCCUUUGAUACUGAAAGACUUGAGUUAUUGUGAAGUAGUUAGAAUGUGUAGUGUAGCGGUGAAAUGCAUAGAUAUUACACAGAAUACCGAUUGCGAAGGCAGAUUACUAACAAUAUACUGACGCUGAGGGACGAAAGCGUGGGUAGCGAACAGGAUUAGAUACCCUGGUAGUCCACGCCGUAAACGAU